rnacentral:rRNA from 1 species
UAUCGAAUUGUAGUCUGGAGAAGCGMUWGAAGUCCACUGAACCUUAUHAUUUAGAGGAAGGAGAAGUCGUAACAAGGUUUCCGUAGGUGAACCUGCGGAAGGAUHAUUGUCGA